UCGAAAAAAUGCAGAGGCCCGGCAGACUGGAGGGGGUCCACCACCUGCAGCCCUCACAGAGGCUGAGGAGAUGGCCCUCAGCCAACAGAGUAUGCGUCCUGUGGCUGAGGGCAUCCCUGGGGGGAGCUCCUCUGAUCCCCCCCACCCCCCAGGAUAGAAGUGCCUUUACAGUAUAAGAGUUACUGAUGGCGUCAUCGCCCUACUUGAACCAGAUGCCCUCACCAACCUCCAUGCAAUUGUAACAAUUCAAAAGAUGCAAAAGGAUGCUUUGGAGAUCCAAAUUUUGGAACAUAAGUUAUAGG